rnacentral:lncRNA from 1 species
AGGGGCAGCUGCAGGCAGGAGGGCAGGAGGAUUUGAGCAGCUGGGCUAAGGUCAGGCACAGAGGCUUGGGCUCAGCAGACAGCCAAAUGCUCGGCCCAGCUGCUACUGCCUCUUUCUGGGCCCUGUGCAGGAGGCAGACGCUGGCUGCCAGGCUGGCGGGCUCCCCUCCACGGCUGCAAGGCCACCCAGGCCCAGGGGUCUGCUCUUCCCUCUCCUCCUGCUGAAUGGCAUUCUUUCCUUUUCUUUCUCUGUCUCCUCACUCUCCCUUUCCUUCUAUUCCUUUUCUCCCUCAUCUCUUUGUGUCUUCAUUUCUGUCUUUGUCUUAUCCUAUGUCUCUCUUCUUUGUAUUUUUUCCCUCCCUCUCUCAGUUUCUUGGCCUCUCUUCAUCUCUCUGUCUCUGGGUUAAAAGUUGUAGGAAAAGGAUAGGAGGUGGGGCCCAAGAGGAAUCCCAGAUGAAACUGAGCUGAGCUCCUACUACGAUUUCAAUGUCUGUGUUUCCCCAAAAUUUAUAUGUCGAUCCCUAAUCUCCAGUGCAAUAGUAUUAGGAGGUGGGGCCUUUGGAAAGUGACUAGGUCAUGAGAGUGGAGCCCUCAUGAAUGCAACCAUAAGAGAGGCCUGAAGGAACUGUUUGCACCUUCUGCCAUGUGAGGUCAUAGCUACAAGGCGCUAUCUAUGAAUGUAUGAACAAGAAAGUGGGCUGUCAUCAGACAUCACACCUGCCACCACCUUGAUCUUGAACUUCCAGCCUCCAGAACUCACCUGGCAUGACAGUAAAUUCAUGCAUAAAUGCCCAAGGUCACAGAGCUGGGAUGAGAACCCAAGGCCUUCAGAAUGUCCAUCAAACUGUCGCUUCCUGACCUCUCGAAAUCACAGAAGCAAGAUCAGAUUCUAGGACUGAAAGGGGAAGAAACAGAAUGUAAGUCCAGUGCCCCAGGUUAACAGAAGAGGAAACAGAGGCCCAGAUAGGGCAAGACCCAUGUCCAAGCCCACAGAAGCAGUUAGUUCUGGCCGAGCCAGGCCCGACUCCCUGCCCAUCCUCCUGUAGUCUUAUAAAACUCAUCCCUUUGCUACCUGCAGGGGACUAAGGGAGUGCCUCUCUCUGGCUGCAGCUGGGUGGUUUUGUAGAGGAUGUGGCUGAGAGUUCGUCAGCUGUGGCCCCACUCAGACAGCUCUCUGUCCAUGGGUGGCUUUGUAUUGGAGUGUGCUAUCAAAGGACUUGACCUGGAUCGAACCAAUGGCCAAUUACGCCUUCCUGUGGUGCACUGAGCUGAGCUUACUCAAGGCUGACAGGCUGAGGGGGUAAACAACAGUGCAUGGGCAUGCCAUCCAAAUCACCCUACCUAUCCAAGCCUGGCGUGCAGCCAGGCAUCCAUUAGCUGUGUUACUCACUGGCUCUCCUUCAACCAUCAUUAGUCUCUCUGUUGUAAACAUGAGAAAAAAUGAAGUUCAGAGAGGAGAGGUAAGCAGCCUUAAGUUACACAGCUGGUAAGUGGAUAAACCAGGAUGCCAAGCCAGGCCUGCUGGAAUGCAAACCCAUACUCUCCCUGCUUUACAAAAAUCCCUACAUUCUGCAAGAGAGGCACUGAGUCUCCUCAUCUAGCACCUGUCUGUGGGGCCUCACUUUCCUCAUCUGUGAAAUGGGUGGGGUAUGAGAAAAGUACUCACUGGCCAGCCAGGACAAGGCACGAGUGGCAGCCAGGCUGGGGGCUGAAAAGAAUGGGAGCCAAGUCAAGAGCUCUCCCAUCAUUUCCAAGGGCACAGUAUUAACUCCCACAUUUGCCCAUCAUUUGUUCAAGCAAAACCUUGUUCACCAAGGCCCAGUGAGGGUCUGGAUGCCCAGAGGAGACUUUGGUCUGGAAGGAGGAAAUACUCUUUCUAUACCCAUAAAACCAGUGAGCACAGAAAAACAUGCCAGGUGCAAUGUUCCCUGGCAAUGUCUCCCAGAAAAUUCCAAAUCCUUCAGUGCUUGGUGAAGGGAAAAGCAGAUUUUGUGGAUAAUUGCUUUAGGAAAACCCUGAGUUGAAUGAAGCUCAGCAGAUGACUGCAGGACUUUUCAGAGCCUUUAAAAUGCUAACAAGCUUUCUAGUUCACCAAGAGAAGUGGAAUGUUUUCGAAACAUACUUGAUCAUGCAAAGUGUUUCAGAGCAUUUCAGAAGAACAAUGCCUGUGUUAUACCCUUUAGAAAACCCUGUGCUGGGGAAGAGGAAAGUAGGAAGAGCUACAGUAUAUAUUUAAUUUACGGUAAAGAGGCAAGUAAAUUAGAGGAGGACAUAUAUUGCCAAAUGAGGGGACAGCUUUUUCAGAAAUGUGGCAUUAAAAAUGCACAGGCUUCCCUCUCCCUCUCCCUCUCCCUGCCCUCUCCCUCUCCCUCUCCCUGCCCUCUCCCUCUCCCUCUCCCCACGGUCUCCCUCUCCCUCUCUUUCCACAGUCUCCCUCUGAUGCCGAGCCGAAGCUGGACUGUACUGCUGCCAUCUCGGCUCACUGCAACCUCCCUGCCUGAUUCUCCUGCCUCAGCCUACCGAGUGCCUGCGACUGCAGGCGCGUGCCGCCACGCCUGACUGGUUUUCGUAUUUUUUUGGUGGAGACGGGGUUUCACCGUGUUGGCCGGGCUGGUCUCCAGCUCCUAACCGCGAGUGAUCUGCCAGCCUUGGCCUCCUGAGGUGCCGGGAUUGCAGAUGGAGUCUGGUUCACUCAGUGCUCAAUGGUGCCCAGGCUGGAGUGCAGUGGCGUGAUCUCGGCUGGCUACAACCUCCACCUCCCAGCCGCCUGCCUUGGCCUCCCAAAGUGCCGAGAUUGCAGCCUCUGCCCGGCCGCCACCCCGUCUGGGAAGUGAGGAGCGUCUCUGCCUGGCCGCCCAUCGUCUGGGAAGUGAGGAGCCCCUCUGCCUGGCUGCCCAGUCUGGAAAGUGAGGAGCAUCUCUGCCCGGCCGCCAUCCCAACUAGGAAGUGAGGAGCGCCUCUUCCCGGCCGCCAUCCCAUCUAGGAAGUGAGGAGCGUCUCUGCCCGGCCGCCCAUCGUCUGAGAUGUGGGGAGCGCCUCUGCCCCACCGCCCCAUCUGGGAUGUGAGGAGUGCCUCUACCCGGCCGCGACCCCGUCUGGGAGGUGAGGAGUGUCUCUGCCCGGCCGCCCUGUCUGAGAAGUGAGGAGACCCUCCACCUGGCAACCGCCCAGUCUGAGAAGUGAGGAGCCCCUCUGCCCGGCAGCCGCCCCGUCUGAGAAGUGAGGAGCCCCUCCGCCCGGCAGCCACCCCAUCUGGGAAGUGAGGAGCGUCUCCACCCAGCUGCCACCCCGUCCGGGAGGGAGGUGGGCAUAUCAAUCACAGUGGUCCAAUGAGCCUUGAGCCAGAACUUCUGCUGGGAUUACUGGAAAAAAAGCUCAUUUAUUGCCAGAGUUCCUGCAAGCUUGGAGCUGCUAGAGGCCAUCUUUGCAACCUCGUGGGGAGAUCUUUCGGGAAAAUGAAACCAUCACAAAGGCAAGCAGAGUCUAGAGACUGAAACAGAUUUCUGUCAACAUCCUAUGGGCCCUUGCUCCCAGCCAUGCCUGAAGUUGGCUGUACCUCCGGGACCUAGACAUUUUAGUUACUCAAAAUAAUAAAUUCUCUUGUGUCCGAAACCAAUUUGAAUUAGGAUUCUGUCACUGGCAACUGACAGAAUCAACUGCCUAACAACAGUUAUAAAACAUAGUCCCAUACAGGUUUUUUGUUGUUGUUCUUCAACAAAUUGUUCUUCAUGCACAUUAUUCAUUCAUUCAAAAUAAUACAUAUUGGACAUGUAUUGUGUACAUGUAACCUAUACCGGUAAGGCUUCCAGGUACAGAUGUUCAAGUUGUGCACUACCCAACUCCAGGGGAUUGGCCUUCAUGUAGUGCACUACCCAACUCCAGGGGAUUGGCCUUCAUGUAGUGGCCCCCUUGGGUUACACAGUGCAGCACCCUUGGGCCAUGGGAAUAUACGAAUAUAUAAAUCAGCCCACCACACAGAAAGGGUCCAUGUCUCACUACAGCCUCUAAACCCUGCCAUUCUCUGGAGUGGUAAGGAAAUGAAGAGACUCUUUACAGUAGGAAAAACAUAAGGUGCGGUAUUAGGACACCUGGAUUGGCAUCUUCACUGUAUUAUUUACUAACCAAGUGUGAUGUUGGAUAAGCCAGUUAAGUUUUCUUAGCUGUUGCUUCUUUAUCUGUAAAAUAGGAAUGAUAAUAUUACCAUCCCUGUUGAAAUCCUUUUUUUUUUUUUUUUUUUUUUUUUGAGACGGAGUCUUGCUCUGUCACCCAGGCUGGAGUGCAGUGGCACAAUCUCAGCUCACUGCAAGCUCCGCCUCCCGGGUUCAUGCCAUUCUCCUGCCUCAGCCUCCCGAGUUGCUGGGACUACAGGCACCCACCAUCAUGCCCGGCUAAUUUUUUGUAUUUUUAGUAGAGGUGGGGUUUCACCAUGUUAGCCAGGAUGGCCUUGAUCUCCUGACCUCGUGAUCUGCCCGCCUCAGCCUCCCAAAGUGCUGGGAUUACAGGCAUGAGCCAUCGCGCCCGGCGGAAAUCCUUCCUAUCCUUCAAAGCCCAACACGAUCACCACCUCCUCCAAGAAGCCUUGCCUGAUUGUCUCCGUGGCCACAAAGUGGUGACUCAGGAGGAAAAGAGAGAAGUAAAGGCGCAUCAUGGGUGAAGAAAUGACCUGAGAACUUGAAAUCCAAGCCCGGCCCAUGCAGGCUGUUUUUCUUAGUCCUUCCUCGCAGCAGGGCUGAGGUGGGAGAAACCGGCUGUAAGCACACUCAGUGGGAUGAUUUGUGGAUCGCCUCCUGGACACCUCAGAGUGCUACCUUGAGUGAGGGGAGAACAGCUGUCCUCUCAUCUCAUCACCUAGAAUAAGAGAGAAGGCCUGUCUGUCACCUGCACCACCAAAGCUUGAGCACUAUCAAUUUGGGAAGAAGCGGCUGUAGUGGUCAUCCAGACAGCACCUAACUCCCCAGGGAAGCAGGCUCCAUUCUUCUCAUCCCUACCUGUUUUUCCCAUGGGUAGGGGGUGUGGAUAAACUGUGGAAGGCAGAAAUGACACCCCUGGCUUGUCAUCAUCCCCCAGAUUUCAGGGUGGAGGGACUCUCGCAGUCACCCAACCUGCCUGCUCUCUGGGGCUGACCUGCCUUCCCACUGGGACCCCUCCCUCCCAUCCAGGCCCAUUGGCUGGCCCCCCGAGCAGGAGGGAAAACACCCUCCAGCCCAUGGGAUUUGUUGCUUUCUUUCCCUCUCCACAGGGACCUGACAAGCCUCCAGUCCAGCUCUGUUCCAAAGCCUUCCAGACUCCCUGAUGUCUGCAUUUGCAUGGAAUCCAAUCUUCUACACAACCCCCUCACCUCCAGCCCAGCCCUUUCUUCAAACCCCCAGCCUAGGUAAAUAGCAAAUAACCCUCAUUAACAUUUCCUAGAUGUUGUAUUCUGCUCUUUUCUGUUGUAUAAAACAUGAUACAAAAGACAGCCCAAAAAGAAACAAAACGCCCUGCUUGUGUGUUAUUUACAGCAGGCCUCUUCUAAUCUAAUCAUCUUUCUUCUUCCCCCCACCCUCUCCCCAGCCCACUGCAACUUUGCAGGGUUUUAUGAAAAUGAACACGUUGUUCAUGCAGCCGGACUCCCUCCCUUGCAGGCCUCAGCAUAAAUAAUUUAUCUGAAAGCUGAUUUGGUUGGCUACGCUUCCAUAAUUGAAGGCCGUCCCACACACUUUAUUGGCGAGCACGGGGGCCCAGUCGCUCGGGUGCACUGACCCCGGAUGGAGGGAUUCAAAGGCCCACCAUGGGCCCCUUCAAAGCCCUGGAGGCCCUUCUUCUUGAUGUCCACUCCCGCCCUCUCCCUCUUCAGCAGGCCCAGCCCCCUCAGCCCUCAAUCUGUCAGGAGACUGAGCUGCCAGGCUCUUCCGUCCAUCCUUAGCUGGUUGCAGGCUGGUCCCUACCUGAUGAACUCCCAUCGCCCUGCACAGCCCUGCCUCUGCACCAUCCCGCCUGUCUGGCAUCCUCUGAGCCCAGGUGACCCCGGAGUGUCUCCCAGGGCUGGCCCAUGGGGGAGUCUGGGACUAGCCCUGGGGCACAGGAUAGGCCUGGAGACCUCCCAUUUUAAACAUUAAGGAGAGGCUGGAGUAAAGUGGUCUAUGCCCUGUCUCAUGCCCUUGAGCUUCAAGGGGUCCUAUGCUCCUGGCAAUGCCCCAGUGCCUUCUUGGCUCACAGAUCAUCUCCCUUGCAGACCACCAGCACCUCCUUGCCGCACUUCAUUUAGUGGAGGACCUUGCUGAUCUUGAGAACUUGCAUAUCAGCCCGUAGCACUGUGCACCAUACACUGCCCCUCCUUCUGGCUGGGGACAAGUCCUCUGCUUGCCCACUCCACCCCAUCUUAUCUUGACUUCCCCAAAGACAAAAAUCUCCAGGAAUCCUCUUGCAGUUAGCCUGCAUCAUCAAUUUUCUUCUCUCCUGGAAUUUUUGUCAGGUAUAAAGAUGCAGAUAGCAUGGUGGCUAAAGCAGAACCUCAGAGCCAUGUGACUGGGGUUCAAAUCCUAGCUCUGCUCCUUAACUGCAGUGUGACCUUAGGCAAGUUACUUAACCUCUCUGUGCCUUAAUUUCUUCAUCUGUAAAUUGGUAAGCAAAAUAGUAACUAACUCAUAGAGUGCUUGGUGGAUUAAACGAGUUAAUAUAUACAAGGUACUUAGAACAAUGUCUAUCCAUAGAAAGUGUACAAAAUGCUUCCUAUCAAUAUUAUGCUGAAAAUAAAACUCUUUACCCCACCUCCCUCUCCAGCUAUCAUCCCGAUUUUCCUGCUGCCCAUUUGUAGCAAACUUCCUACAAAGGGAUGUCUACAUGCCCUGUUUACAAUUGUUCUCCCCUGCUUCUCCCUUGAGCCCCCUCCCAUCAGGCUUUCUCACCCUCAACACUGCUCCAAAGUACUUCUCAUCAAGAUCACAGUGGCCUUCAUGGUGCACAGUGCCAUACUCAGUUUUGAGUCCAUUCUGUACCAAACCCGUAGCAGGUACUUGACACAGAGAAUCAGUCUCCUCUUCAUACAUGGUCUUCACUUGGUCGAUGACACUGCUCCCUCAUGAUGCUUCUCCUUCACCUUCUCUUUCUCCUCCUUCUCCCUGGCUUCUCAUUCUCAGUCUCUUCUACUAGAUAUCCCUGACUUCCCGACCUCUACAUGUUGGAUGCCACAAGGGCUCAAUGCUAUGAACUCUCCACUCCCUGGGCCAGUGCUAUUCAGUGGAGAUACAACACGAGCCACUGAUGUAACUUUGAAUUGUCCAAUAGCUACAUUUAAAAAGUACCAAUGAACAGGUAAAAUUAAUUUUAAUAAUAGAUUUAAUCUAACCCAAUAUAAUCAAAAUAUUAUCAUUGCAACAUGUAAGCAAUAUAAAAAUUAUCAAUGGGAUAUUUUACUUUUUUUUUCUAAAUCUUCAAAAUCUGCUGUGCAUGUUACCCUUUCAUGCAACAUGACCCCUGCAGACCAGCCAUAUUUCCAGUGCUCAGUAGCCAAGUGUGGCUGGUGGCUUCUAGAUUGGACAAGACAGCCCUAGGGGAUCCUCUCCAUCCUCACUGUGUGAAUGUCAUCUGUAUUACCAGGACACAGAAAUCUUUUUCACCAGUCUGGAGCUCUCUUUUGAACUCCAGAUUCUUGUAUACAUUUGGUGCCCCAAAGACACAUCAAACUUCAAAGGGAAUAUCAUGGGGUGGGCCGGGUUUGCAACUUCAUAUAGCAUGACCAGGGAAGGACCCUGGGAGGAAAUGGUAUUUGAACAGGGAUCUGAAGGCAGGGAGGAAAUGCGCUCUGUAGCUGUCUUGGGGAAAGCCCAGUGGGCAGGUAAAAGGGCAAGUACACCCAUCUUGAGCCGGGAGCAAGCCUGGCAUGUCCCAAGAACAGGAGGGAGGGGGCUGAGCUGGGAGAGAGUGGCGAGGCGUUGACUCUUGGCCUGUGUGAGUCAGGGAAGUCAUGGGAGUAAGGGUGGAGGAAUGGCAAGUUCUGAUGUCUAUUCUAAAAUGAUGCUGUGGUUCAGGGUAAAGAAACAACCAGAGGGCCAAGAGUGGAAGCAGGGAGGUGAGGCAGGAGGCUGUUGCAGUGGCUCUGGGAGAGGUGGUGGAAGCGUGGACAAUGCCGUGGAGGAAGGAAGACACCUACGCUUGGAGGCUGGAUCUGUUUGUAAGAUGCAGGCCACAGGGAUUGGUGAAGAAUUGGGUGUGGGCUUUGAGAGAACCAGAGGAGUCAGGGUGAUUCUAGAGUCCUUAAAGGAUGGUCAGGUUCCAGUAGCCUCUGACUGAGGAGGUAAGAUGCAGAGGCCUGGCUGCCAGAGCCCCACAUGAGAUGACGCUGAGGAGCUAGCUGAGUUCCAACAACUCUGUGGUGUCAGCCAAGCCACAUCACAGCUCCACCUCUCCCCUGCCCCAUCCUGCCUCCCUCCCCGUUUCCCACAGGUGUUUGUCUCAAGGCAUUCCUCUUAAGCGUCCUGCUUCAUAAACUCCUUCUGAGAGUCUGCUUCCUGGAGAGCUCAACCUUCACCACUCACCCCCAAGAUCCAACUCAUAAAUUCUCCUGGACACUGCGAUGAGGCAGCUGGCUUUCUCCCUGGCACCAGCCCCAAGGGAGCCAGCCUUUGCCUAUAAUUGAUUCCUGGCCCUGACCCCCUCCUCCUGCCAGAGGCCCAUGCAGCCCAGAGGCUCCAGUGGCAAUGACCAUGUUGAGAUGCUUAAAUCCUGCCAUCUUGGCUUUUUCCAUUAUUUUUUAAACCUUGGGGGCCAUGGUAUCCAAGGUCCAUAGACACUGGGUGGCCAGUGAUAAGAGGUCCCUGUCACUCUGCCCCAGGAACAACUGACACCAGGCCUGGGCAGCCCUUCUUCCCCCUACAGGGGCCCUUGCUCCCUUUUGUCUUGACAAGAGGCCCCACCUCAUCCCAAGAGGUGCAGGAGGCCAGACUUUGCAGAGUAGCUGGCCAGAAUCAAGAGACCACAAUGAAUUUGUUUCUAAUGAUCGCUCCUUUUUGCUCCACCUGAGAUUGCCAGUAGAAGGGUCUGUUAAGACAAAUCUGAGUGAGUCGUUGCAUCUGGGAACCUGUACUGUCUCCUGAAUGUUCUCAGGUGAUAGCCCAAACCUGUGCUGAGAAAAGAAAUAAAGACAAGAAAGUUAGACAGGGCCCUCACUGGACAGAGGAUAACUGGCCAGCCCAACACUCCAGAUUUCAAUUUCCAUUGAGACUAAAGGGCCAUAGCGUAGGAGCAAUAGGCAGCUGGGCCGGAGUGGCCUCAGUGAGUCAAUGCAGGGAUAUUCACUGAGCAUGUAGCUUGGGCCAGGGACUGCUUAAAAGGAAGCUGCUGGGGGAACACCGACCAUGGUCCUCAGCAGAGCAGGAAGCUGGGAUCCCAGGAGCCAUGGCAAGCUCCAGAUGAGAAGUGAGUACAAACUUGCAGAACAGACAAAGAGUGAGGAAGUGGAGGCUAGGUCAAAAAGCGGAGAGUAAAGCAGGCUUCUGUCCUUCAAGGCCCAGCCCAGAAGACCCUAUGCCCAGUGAUAUAAGAUCCUCAUCACUCUGCCCCAGGAACAACUGGUAUGAUCCAUGAGCAGUCCUGGGCAGGGCAAAUACCUGGGCUUUGAGUACUGAAUAAGGUGCGAUGCACAGUCCCUAAGAAUCAUGAUGACAUCCUUAGAGUGUUAUCUUAAGGUAGCCCUGUUUAGUCCUUGCCUCUUAUCCACCCGCUACAAAGAGCAGUCAGUUUAAAAAAUGGCUUGGCUCACAGAUCAGGAACCCCUCAAGAGCAAAGACCUACCUCCCCCACUGCAGCCCAGCAACCUGUAGGGUUUUCCUGCAGUCGAACAAGUGUAGCUGGAAUUGCAUUCACCCACCUGUUCCUGAGUUCUCCUGGGACACAAUGUUGGAUUGGUGGGCACUAGUAUAUUCUUUUCACAAGUGCUGGAAUAUCACUAUUUCAAACAGCUUAAUGAUCAUUGUACAUGUGCCCUGAGCAAGGCUGCAUGAAUAACUAAAAUGUCAAAUGUCUUUGUUUUAGCUGCGAUUCUAUCAACUCUGCAGGUCUCAUAAGCAUGAGCCACAUGCCAAUUAGAAUCUCUGAUGGUCAAGUAUAAAUGUCUUUGUUUCAUAAAAAUGAAAGAAUGAGUUCAUUAUCACUUAACUCCCUCUAGAAGAAAUAAUCUUUUAAAAACUUAAGAUCCAUAAGGAGGAAAGAUGGGUUGUUAAAGCAGGUCCUCCCUAAAGAUUGCUUCCUUGCCUGUGAAUAGAAUGAAUCCAAUGGCAUCAUUUCCUAGAACCAAGUUGAAUUUCCCACUGGAACCAGAAUUCCAGAAAGCCCUGGACAUCACUCUACAUGUCAAGGCUGCAGACACACACACAUCAAUUCUGAAAGAGGGAGGAUUCCAAGAGUGAUGGUGCCUGCAGGGCCUUCUGAGAUAAGAUGAGGAGUCUUUCUGGUUUCCAAGGGGAGGAACCCAAGCUACAGUCUCACUGGCACCAAAGAUUAGAGAGGUUAGUGAUUGAGGACCCAGGGAGGCAGCUGCUCUCUGAAGACUCUUCCCUAGUGGAGCUAUACCUCAGCUCAAAAAGGCAACCACAAAUCUUGUGUCCAGCACAGCUCCAAUUCAAGCAAAUUUCAUUCUCUUUCACCAAGGAAAGUCUAUACACAUACACAUGUAUAUACACACAUGUAUGUAUAUAUGUUUAUAUAUGUGUGCAUGCAUACAUACAUACAUAUGCAUGUGUAUAAAAUGGGAUUUGAAUUAUAGACUUAGACCUGUCUUUUCAUCAAAAUAAAUAAACAAACAUGAAUUUACCCAUCAGAAAACUUCAGUUGUCAGGACCUGUGUCUGAUAUUUAGCUGGGGAAAUUUCCCCUGUCACUGGGGUGGUGGAUGUUGUCUCAGAGCUGAACACUGGGCUGGUGGGGUCAUCGGAGGAUGAUGAGGAUGAAUCAAGGCUGUUCUCCCACUUUCUCCAGGGCUGUGCCUGGGACCAUAUGUGUAUGUGUGGCUGAGAGGAGGCAUGGGUCCCAAGACAUGGGUCAUCAGAGACUGAAGCUCUCCAGGGCAGCCUGAGAGAUCUGGCAGGGCUCUGGGGGCGCCUCAGUUUUGUGAAUCACCGCCAUGUGGUGCCUUUGGAGUCAGCCAGCUCUGCCUCCUAACCCCAUCCCCUCACUCACCAGAUGUGUACCUGGGUCUCAAUUUCCCCCAUCUGUCAUUGAGGACAGUCAUACCGACCUCAGGGAGGGAUCAGGUGAGAUAAAUGUGAUGAUGACCAAAAUGCAAGACAAUUACUGAUCAUGAGCAGAUGAAGUCUAGAAAGGGGGAAAUUGGUCCACAGAACACAGUGGGUCAAUGAGGGACUUAGAACGAAAACUCGAGUCUUGGGUUCCCAGGCCAGACCUCCUUUCACUGCACCAGGGAUUUCAAAGUGGGAUCCACAGAUGUACUGUCAGGGGCCCUUGAGUGAUAUGAGAGUCUUUUUUUAUUCUGAUAUUUUCAUUUUAAAAAUUGAAAAAUAUCAGUGAGACCCUAUUGGGGUUGUGUGUGGAUGAUCAUAUUAUCACCAACUAAUGCUUCAGGAAUGCAGAGUUCACAUUUGCAUUUGGGUUUACUAUCAUGUUUUUGCAAAAUGAAGGCCAAAUGACUUCAUGGACUGCUGUACAAACAAAGGUUUAGCAAUUGUUCAAACAGAGAUAAGUGGAGGGAGGAUUGAGUCAUCAAACAGAACAGGGGACACAGACAUGCCACAAAUAAGCUGCUCUGCAUUGAAGCUGGUAGAAUUGUAGUCACUGUUUUGCAAGCAGGUGCCUGAGUGAAUGCCACCUUGGUUUGCAACAACUUGCAAGACAACACUAGCAGCUGGAAAUGGUAAAUGGUAUAUAGUCUUACUAAAUGGUACAUAUUUCUAUAUAUUUUAAAUUAUUAUAUUUUGAAGUGCUCUAUUAAGUUGAUCGCUUCAUCAAAAUUCUAGGUCUGUGUUUAGAAGUGUGUUCAUUGUAAUACAUGAAAAAUAUAAUAAUAUUGAUAAUAACUCUAAUGAUGGUCUAGCAUGUCCAAACAUCAAAAUGAUCUAGUUGAUAACAAGCGGAACUUAAAUGGGAAUGUAUCCUUCUAUUAUUAAACCCAACGUUGGUUGUUUUACUUUCAGCAAAACAUCAUCUGUCACAUUAAAUUAAUGC